rnacentral:lncRNA from 1 species
UGCAAGUUUUUGUUUUUGUUUUUUUUGAAUGAAAAGUAUGUAACUGCACUUUUGUUUACUCCGGACUCCAUAUUUAUCCCUAACUGGAGAAAGAAUUUGUAAAUAGCUUACAUAUGUGCUAUGGAUGACAUGUGAAGAGGCUUUUGCUCAAAAGGACACUUUAUGCCCAGAUAGUAUUUCUACUCCCUGCAAAUUUAUUCCCUACUCUCCCUAAUUCCUUAACACCCUCUAGGAAUCUUACAUUUUCUUACAAAAUAACCAGUUCCAAAUGAAUAGGUGACUAAGAAGAAGAUUAUCUCACUUGUAGCAUCAUAGGGCACACUACAUUCUUUCUUAAAUCCUUUAUUACCAACUUUUUUUAAUAUUUAUUUUUUAGUUAUAGGUGGACACAAAUCUUGAUUUUAUUUUUAUGUGGUAUUGAGGAUCAAACCCAGGGCCUCGUGCGUACUAGGCAAGCACUGUACCUCUGAGCUACAAUCCCAGCCCCAAUUACCAAUUUUUUUAAGUUGGCACCUAACAGUGACAGAAUUCUUUUCACUUUUAGUGAAGUUUUUAAAAAUAUUGUAAUAAACCCAGCUUUCAUAUCUAUAUUCCUUUCCAUAUCAACCUUACUGAUAAGAGUUUGCUACCCAGACUUCUUGUAGCCUAAGUAUAAAAUUGUAGUGGGUAUAGUUCUAGUGGUGAUUUUAGAUGCAUUCUGAAUAAUGUGAUAAUUUAUUUCAUUUAGUAUACUGAUAUAGUUGUAUAAUUCACACACGCCUUUUUUCUUUCUUUUUUUUAAUGUGAUACAGAUUGAACCCAGGGCCUUAUGUAUGCUCUACAAGUGCUUUACCACUGAGCUGCAUCCCUAACCCUAGCUGUAUAAUUCAGAUAAGAUUUAAAUAAAAAUUGCAUAUUUCUGACAAAUAUCAGGUUGUACUAGUCCAUUAUAAUGCAGUUAUAUACCUCAUAUAGACAUUUUGGUCAGUGAUGGACCAUUGUGUGGGUGUUAUGUGAUAUGAUAGUGGUUCCAUAAGGUUAUAGUGGACUUAAAAAUUCCUAUUUCCUAGUGCCAUCUUAGUUUGUAUAAGUACACUCUGAUGUUUGCACAAUGAUGAAAUCACCUAACAAUGCAUUUCUUGGAAUUUAACCCCAUUGUUAAGCGACACAUGACUGUAGUAGAGUAGGCCCUUUACAUUUUAAGCAGUGUGUCCUUUAUAAAGUUCCAGAGACUCAAAUUAUAAGACAAUAUGUACCUUAACCUCAAGAUGGAAUACCCAACCAGGUUGGGAUGCAGCACAGAGAAUAGACUGGAUUUUCUACUUGCUAGAUAACUCAGUCUCUAAUUGAGUCUUAG